CUGGACAUCAGCACAGGUGUCUUCAGCAGCUCGGGGCACAGUGCCCCCGGCACGAAACAAAGGACAAAGAUCAUGGCUCAGGGAACUGUCAAGUGGUUCAACGCUGAAAAGGGCUUCGGCUUCAUCGCUCAGGAUGGUGGCGGCGAGGACGUGUUCGUCCACUUCUCCGCGAUCCAGACCGACGGCUACAAGUCGCUCGACGAGAACCAGAAGGUCGAGUUCGACCUCGCCGCUGGCCCCAAGGGUCCGCAGGCUGAGAACGUUCGCGUCUCCUGACGUAACCACGACGAGCCCCGACCGCAUCUGCGGUCGGGGCUCGU
rnacentral:other from 1 species